UCCAGAAAUGGGUGAUCAAGGGGCUGCUAGUGUUAAUUGUUGUGGCUGAUUUGCGAUGUUUUAGGCAUCUGUUUGUGCUAAAUUUUGGGGUAUUAGUUUAGUAAGGUAUUUGGGACGUUUCCACGGAGUCGAUUUUGAGAUUCUAAUUGUGGGCCCCACAAUCCCGUUUUAGACCCGAUUUUGGGUCCGUCUCCGAAAAAUAUAAUUUUAGUGUCAAUAUAUUCGUAAUGACGAGGUGAUUAACCUUUUGUUAGUGGGGAAGCAUUUGGAGACCGUUCGGAGAGGAAAAGAUCUGGUACCGUGAGUUGGAGCACGCGUGAUCGGCUUUCAGGUCCGAGCACUAGUAGCCAGCGUUGAUCGAGCUUGGAGUAGACUUAUCCGGAGACGGGGU